AUGUGGUUCUCGACGGCAGCGGCGCUACUGCUCGUGGCGCUGCCACUGUCCACCGGAGCAGCAGCUGCACCGGCGCCGUCAUUAGGGACGUCAGCCUGCGACACUAGCUGCGGCAACAUAAGCGUGUGGUACCCGUUCGGCAUUGGCCCGUCCUACUGCUACCACUCGCCGGGGUUCAACCUCACCUGCGACCGGUCAAGCAGUCCGCCGCGGCUCCUCCUUGGCGACCGCACCCUUCAGGUCUCCGGGCUCUACAACAGCCAGGUAGAAGUCAUCUACACCGGCGAGCUCAACGGCACGCUUGGUGGCGGCCUCAGCGACAGCGGGCCGUACACGGUGUCGGACUCUAACAGCUUCAUCCUCGUGGGCUGCAACGCCCGCGCGACCCUCAGGAACGGCGACAUGAUCAUGAGCAGCUGCGCCUCCUUCUGCCAAAACGGGGAAGACUCGUACAUUCCGUCGUGGCGGGAGAGCAGGAUGCGCUAGCUGCUCCGGCUGGGGCUGCUGCCAGGCGUCGAUCGUCAUCAACCGCGAGGUGCUUGCUGGGUCAGGCCAGCUCGUCCCCAUCACGUCCUACGACGUGGAGCUCGAGUCCUUCGGGUGGAACCGCAGCGACGGCCCCGCGCGCGUCAUCGUCGCGUCCAACGGCUGGUUUGAUGCGUUGAGCGGCUCGCAGUCGCAGAAGAAGAAGAAGCCCUUCAUACAAGCUCCCUUUAUGCUCGAAUGGGAGAUCAUCAUCGACAACGGCACACAGGGAUUGCAGAGUUCGGAGGGGUGUGCUAGGGCCUGCAGGAGCAACCACACCAUCUGCACAGAAGGCCAAAGAGGCGGCUACUUGUGCUCCUGCAGAAGGGGUUACCAGGGCAAUCCUUACAUCACCAACGGAUGCCAAGACAUCGACGAAUGCAAGCGGUCGGAAGAUUAUGGGUGCUUCGGCCAAUGUACCAAUACAGUUGGUUCGUUCCAGUGCCACUGCCAACAGGGAACCAGUGGCGACCCCAAUACGCCUGGUGGCUGCUUCAGUAAAGUCGUAGGUGCAAGUGCAAGUAACUGUAGCACAUCAUGCGGCAACCUGAGUGUGCCAUACCCAUUUGGCAUAGGUCCGCCCAAGUGCUACCUUCCAGGUUUUAACCUCACAUGUGACACAAGCCGCGACCCCCCACAACUGAUGCUCGGUACACUCCGAGUUCUAGACAUCUCUCUCCCUAACAACACACUGCGCGUCAUCAACACCGACCAACUACUUCUCCAGGUUUGUGGUGCCAGAAUCGGGAUGACGCUCACACAUCUCUGGAUGGGCCAUGGUGACACAGUGCCCUACUCGUUGUCAACCAGCAAUGAGAUCGUUGUCACUGGGUGCAGUGUGCAGGCGGGGCUCUCAGUCGGGGAUAGCAAUCGGACCAUCCUCGGUGGUUGUUCCACCUUUUGUUCCGCAAACAAAAAUGGAACCUUUGAUGCAGCGAGUGCAGCUGGCAUUGACGAUGAUUACUGCUAUGGCAUGGGUUGCUGCCAAGCACGCAUCUCCAUGUCGAAGAAUGGCAUGCCUAGUGAAUUCUGGUUCAAGUCAUUGGAAAUUUGUGCCUCUGAUAAGGAAUUUCCAGACGCAUACACGUUCAUCGCAGAGGAAGGAUGGUUCAACAAGCGUCGAGUCUUUUCCCAGCUUCCCCGAUCGUCAUGGAAAGAAAAUCGAGGAGCCAUACUGGAGGUCCCCUUAGGUCUAGACUGGGAGGUCUUGCAAAUGCAACCUAGUGGCUUGGGGUUGAAGACUAACGAGAGCUCGCAACAAUAUAUUAAGUGUCCUGGCAUCUGUAGGAGCAAGAACAGCUUCUGCAAACCAAGGAUUAGAGGCUAUUCAUGUCACUGCAACACAGGUUACGAUGGAAACCCAUAUCUUGUCGACGGAUGCGAAGGCGGUGGCCGUAGAAAAUUUAAAGGUAUGAGCAUCGUCAUAGGAAUUGCUGCUGGAGCCGGACUAGUAGUAUUUUUUCUCACUGGAAUUUUUAUUAAGAAGAAACUUAAACAGCGGAGGUCUCAAAUGUUAAAGCGCAAGUUCUUCCAACAAAAUCGCGGACAACUGUUGCAGCAAUUGGUAUCCCAAAGUGCUGGUAUUGCGGAAAGAAUGAUCAUAACCUUGGAAGAGCUAGAGAAGGCAACACAUUGUUUUGAUAAAGAUCUCAUUGUUGGCGGUGGAGGGCAUGGUAUUGUUUACAAAGGAAUUUUAUCGAACCAACAUAUUGUGGCCAUCAAGAAACCCAAGAAGGUGGUACAGCAGGAGAUCGAUGGGUUUAUCAAUGAGGUAGCUAUCCUAUCACAAAUCAACCAUAGAAAUGUAGUAAAACUCUAUGGUUGUUGCCUUGAAACUGAAGUCCCGAUGUUGGUCUAUGAAUUCAUAUCUAAUGGGACGCUUUACGAGCAUCUUCAUAUCGAAGGACCGAAAUCAUUGUCUUGGAAUGAUAGGUUGAGGAUUGCCACCGAGGCAGCAAAAUCUCUCGCAUAUCUUCACUCAGAUGCAUCAAUACCUAUUGUUCAUAGAGAUGUCAAGUCUGCAAACAUACUUUUGGAUGAUACCCUGACAGCAAAGGUAGCUGAUUUUGGAGCUUCACGGUACAUUCCGAUGGAUAUAUCUGGGGUUAUGACAAUGGCCCAAGGUACGAGAGGUUAUUGGGAUCCUAUGUAUUUUUACACAGGACGGCUAACUGAGAAAAGUGAUGUUUACAGUUUUGGGGUCGUCCUUGUGGAACUACUAACCAGGAAGAAACCAUUUUUGUAUUUGUCCUCGAAUGAUGAGAGCCUUGUUGCACAUUUUGUUACCUUAUUUGGAAAAGGACAAUUAUUGGAGAUAUUAGAUCCACAAGUUAUGGAAGAAGGAGGCAAAAAAGUCGAAGAAGUGGCUGCUAUCGCAGUUGCAUGCGUCAAAUUAAGAGGAGAUGAUCGUCCUACCAUGAGACAAGUGGAGUUGACACUCAAAGGCGCACAUGAGUCUACGGAACAAAGUUUAGAUAAUGUAAAUCCAUGUACAACAGGCGAAAGAAACACCGAGGAGUCGACCAGACAAUAUAGUAUGGAACAUGAGUUCAACUUAUCUGCAGAGUACCCUCGGUAG
rnacentral:rRNA from 1 species